GGACCUGCCCCUGGCUGCAACCUGUGCUCGAAUCACAGGUACGGAGGGGAGAGCAAGCCCCUGCCUGAAAGCGGGUUGCGGUCCAGCUGCAGGAACCUGACAAAACUCAGACAGAAUCUGAGACUGACCGUGGGAAGGUGAGAAGGAGAUAGCACAGCUGAGUCCGUGGGCCAAGAAGGCCCGAGUUACACGGGACUGUAGGGCAGUGGGUGAAGCUCUGGGAAGACUCGGUGGAGAAAGAGUGCCUGGAAGUGCCUCUGCAGGGCUUCUAGCAGUGGGUCUCUGCUGGCUGAGCCUGAGAUCACCAGGGAAAGAUUUUAUGAAUCUCAAUUCUGUCCCCGACCCCUGACCAGAUGUAUUGCUGCAGCCAGACAGACUUGACGUGGCGCACGCACCUGUUUAAAAACGCCCUGAGUGCCUCAAGAGCUUAUGCAGGGCUGAGGAACCACAGGAUCUUAACAAGGGGAGCCAAGGAAAGAUCACUAAAUGCAGAGGCACGGAGGGAGCAAAGGUUCAGCAUCCAGGUCUCUGCCUGGGAGGUAUAUUCAUGAAGCAGGGAUGCAUUUCACACCAUCACAGUCUACAACAAAAUUCAGAAUGUUUUCCAGAUCAAAAUCUACCUGACGGUGAGUC
rnacentral:lncRNA from 1 species